GAAAGAAGUGUUUCCUGAUAGCACAGCACCAGCACUUCCUCACACAGGCUUUGCUGAGCACAGAGUGCUCCAACACUGAGCUCAAGUGUUCCAACAGAACAUGUGUUCUUGACUACAUCUUGGGACUAUGCAGUGCUAUGACGUGAGAAGAACUCUGCAAACCAUACACACAUUUUGGAGAUCUCUGCUAUCAGUGUUCUUACAAGACCCCACUGCCACCUUUGGGAAGGUGGUGAAUAUCUGCCUUUGAUGUGACACUGGGUCAACUGGAAUUCUUGAAAUGCACGAGGUACUUUUCCCAUGGCUCUAUGAAGACAGUACUAGCUGACACAAAGAAAUGAAAGGUAUGAGAACACAGAUUAAACCAAAUAUUUCUGCUGUUGUUGUUUUCACAUGGAGUUUAAUUAGUAUGUUUUUAAAAGGCUAUGAUGUACAAACC
ensembl:lncRNA